rnacentral:rRNA from 1 species
GUCGAACGCGAAAGGGGCUUCGGCCCUGAGUAGAGUGGCGAACGGGUGAGUAACACGUGGGUGAUCUACCUUCGAGUGGGGGAUAACGUCCCGAAAGGGACGCUAAUACCGCAUGACGUUCCGGGUUUAAAGACUUGGAAACCAAAGCCGGGGACCGCAAGGCCUGGCGCUUGAAGAGGAGCCCGCGUCCGAUUAGCUAGUUGGCGGGGUAAUGGCCCACCAAGGCGACGAUCGGUAGCCGGCCUGAGAGGGCGGACGGCCACACUGGAACUGAGACACGGUCCAGACUCCUACGGGAGGCAGCAGUGGGGAAUUGUUCACAAUGGGCGCAAGCCUGAUGACGCAACGCCGCGUGGGGGAUGAAGGUCUUCGGAUUGUAAACCCCUGUCGAAUGGGACGAAAGACCCGGGAGCUAAUCAUCCUGGGAGUGACGGUACCGUUAAAGGAAGCCACGGCUAACUCUGUGCCAGCAGCCGCGGUAAUACAGAGGUGGCAAGCGUUGUUCGGAAUUACUGGGCGUAAAGGGCGCGUAGGCGGCCAUCUAAGUCAGACGUGAAAUCCCCCGGCUUAACCUGGGAACUGCGUCUGAUACUGGACGGCUAGAGUAUGGGAGAGGGAUGUAGAAUUCCAGGUGUAGCGGUGAAAUGCGUAGAUAUCUGGAGGAAUACCGGUGGCGAAGGCGGCAUCCUGGACCAUUUACUGACGCUGAGGCGCGAAAGCUAGGGGAGCAAACGGGAUUAGAUACCCCGGUAGUCCUAGCCCUAAACGAUGAAUGCUUGGUGUGGCGGGUAUCGAUCCCUGC